CCUCUGACUCCCAAGCCUGAGCUCUUGCCACUAAGCCACGAGUGGAACAGUGUUAAAGGAAUCCAAUUUCCUGAUAGCUGCCCUGUGUGGAGAGAAUCUCAGCAUCAGCAGCACCUUCUUUGACUACAAAGGACAUAUCCACAAGACCAGUCCUACCCUAAAGACCCUGAAGAUCAUCAGACACUGUGUCCAUCCUCCCACUGCCCUUCUCCAGGAAUCAAGAAAAAAAAGACAGCAAUGGCCAGCUUUCCAGGCUUCAUAUUGUCCCAAAGAACCACAUGGACUAAGAAUUGGCCAAUUUGUAUGAACAGUUGGAGAAUGGAGACAAUACGAACCUUCAGAUCCCACCUCCUCUUCAAUAAAAUGCAGUUCACAAAGUUUUCUUGGAGCAAACAUUCCUUCCACUUGGUACAAUGUUUCAACUCAAGAUGAAAGAUUUCGGUGGCAGACAUGAAGGAGUAAAUGAGAAGAUAUAGGGAUGAAAAUCCAGUCAGUCUUUGAAAGAGAAAAAGGGGAAUACAUAACUCAAGGUAAACUCUGGGAAGAUGACUCUAGGGAUCAGUAAACUAGGAUUUACUACAAGACUCAAGUAUCAUUUUGGAGAACAAGGGAUUUACAAAUCUACUACCAAACUUUCUAACUCGAAUGUCAUAAGAUGUGUCAUAUUUUGAGCAUAUGGGAAAUGGUAUCCAACCAUCUGCUCAGGAAAUAACCACUGGAAUGUGUGAGGGGGAGAUAAUGCACAUAUUGAGCAUGGAAUUAUUGGCUAGAGGGAAAGAUAGGGAGGUGGGGGUCUUGCGUUCCACAAAGAAAGUGUGAAAGAAUGCUGAAGAAAUGGAGAAUCCAAGUCUCUGAAAUGAUCUCAGAGAUCUACAGUCAUGGAAUUAUUGCACUAUACUACCAAUGUGAAAGAUGAAAAAGCCAGUGACACAAUUUUAGUAUUAGCUCUAGUUUGGGCAUCUCUGGAAAGUUUGAAUUAGGAAAGAAGCCCAAGAUUACCUUGAGAUUUCUUGGCAUAAUCUAAGGAUAAAAGUAAGGAUCUAAGCUUUUGGAUAUAGUAGCUUAUCAUAUAAUUGGGGGAAAAUAAGAGUUAGAAAUCACGGGGGUACAGAUUUAAGAAGACCUACUGGAUGAUGUCUUUAAGUAUGGUAAAGAUUAAUGAGCUGAAGUCUGAACCUGAAUUCUGAGUAAAAUAGUUGUACCUCCUUUAAAUAAGAGUAGAAGGCAACAUCAAUGAAUCAGUCCAGGAUGGGUUGAAUGCAAAUAUUUGUACAUAAGGAGCAAAAGAGAUAGGUGCCUUGAAAUGAUCUGAAUAUUAAGAAGUUGUUGAGAAUAAAAAGUGAAAAAUGGCAUAUCUUUAUUUGCAGGUUGAAAAUGCAAGUAACCAUGUAAAAAGUAAAUUCAUAUUAAGUUCACUUAGGUAGAAUUUGAAAGGUUAUCAGUAAUACCUUCUUCAUAUUGUUUAGGGAAGUUAUUCUAUGCUAAGAUGGUAAAUACUUAUAACCUCCCUCCCGGCAUAGAGUGAUAGUACUUAGGACUCAUUACUAUGAACCAUUACUCAACUCUAUUUCUCACAGAUGGAAAAGAUAAUCUCCUUGUUCUUCUGGAGUUAAAGAGAAACCUCAAUUAAAAUGAAAAGAAUUUUGAAGUCCACUUUAGGUAAUACAUGGGAAGCUGAAGUUGUCUUAAUCUAUGAGGAAGCAGCGUGGCUAGUGGAAAGAGCCCGGGCUUGGGAGUCAGAG